rnacentral:tRNA from 1 species
AGGAUGUUAGUAAAACUAAUUACAUAGCCUUGUCAAGGCUAAGCUACAGGUGAAAACCCAGUACUUCCUA